GUUGAGCCCAUACUGGCUGUUGUUGUUGCAGGAUAUACUGCUGUGGGGGAGGGUAUUGGAGUGGUUGGGCCCCCCUAGUGGCAGUGAGUGAGGCUGCCUGCUGUUGGAUCAUCUGAGAGACAGUCUGGGCCACUAUUUGGGAGAUGUCUGUUUUGGUGCCUGACUCCUUCGUUUCUUCCGCCACCAUCUGUUUCUUAGGUUUUUCUCCUUGUUGUGCUUCCUUCAAUUGGAGUUUCAGGAGUUGUACCUGGAGGGACUGCACCUGGCUCUCAGCACCCCCUCUUUCCUUGUUGUGUUGGGAUACAUGGUGGUGCACAUGCGUAUUGAAUUGGGUCAGAGGAAGUGCAAUCAACCCCACUGUUCCUCUGAGUUUGGUUUUAACAUCUCCAGGACACCCGUUCACCACCAUUUCCUUCCACAUGCUGAGUGUGGUAUCAGUGUGAUCGAAUGGUUCUUCGUGGACCGAUCUCCAUGUGGUCUUAGCCCUGUCCAGGUAUGCUGCAGGUUGCUCACCUGGGUUGAUUGUAAAGGAGGAUAAGGUGGCAUGGUUUCUUUCUGUAGGGUAUGCUCUCCGUAGAACUUCCCAUAAUCUGGUACGGAAGUGGUCUAUGGGCAGUGUUGGGGCCCGCCAUCCAAGGUCAGCUGCUGUCAUGAGGGCCUCCAUGGUUCCGUGGUCGGUGGCUCUUGCUAGAAGUGCUUUCAUGUCUCCUAGGCAGAGUUGCAGGCCUGAAGUAAGUGUCUGCAGUUGAAGUAGCCACGCUGAAGCUCCUCCAUGUAGGCUAGGCAUCUGUUCCAUCAGUGUUGUUAAAUCAGUCAUUUUCCAGGGCUGCUGGGGUGAGCACCAUGUCAAUUUCUUCUUCGUUUUCGAUAUCCAUGUUCUGAUGACAGUCCUCCCUAUCCGUCUGAUAGAAGUGGUUUGAAUCUAAUCUUGUUUGUAGGUGUCCUCUGGUUUCAGAGGUGAGCGAGUUCACAGAGGAGCAUUGCGGCCUCCGUUCCUGGGGGAGGCCUCCUGCGCCUGGAGUCCCAGUUUCGAGCUGUUCACAUACAAUAUGGCCACCCGUUAUCCCCAGUGUCAUUUCCCCUUUUAACUCCCCUUGGUCUAUUCUCAGAACUGGAGCCUGUAUUGUGGGAGGUGCCCUGGGCAGGAAUGGGUUGUGUGACGGGCUCCGGUGAUUUUGUCCCUUUGAGUAUGGCGG
ensembl:lncRNA